rnacentral:lncRNA from 1 species
UUUUUUUUUAUCCCCGUCCCCGCCCCGAUCCCCGGCGGGGAAUUUUUUUUUACCCCCAUCCCCGCCCCUAACGGGGACCGGGGAUUCCCGCCCCGAAUCCAAACCCCGAAAAUUUUUAGAGUAAAUAGAUAUCAAAAUGGUAAAAUCGUUAAAAAAACAAAACAAUAACAAGAAUGUGGACUUGAAUUCCAAAAAAAACAGGGCCUAUCAUCAUACAAAUGAAAACCCAAAUGAAAAUAAUUUAUAUUUCUGUUUGGAAACAUUAGGGUUUUCGAAAAAACCCAAAAAAAUUAAUGAACUAGAAAGAUGGCAACUCAAACAAUUAAAGAUUAAACACGUACAUGCACAAGUCACGGCGGGAAACGACCGGCGACCGCAGCGGGAGCAACGGCGGGCAACAAUGACGAGGGCAACCAGCUCUGGUGCUGGGUCUCCAAAAUACUCUCGGCCAUGGAGAGAGAGAGACUGAGAGAGAGGUGUGAAACUAUGGAGAGAGAGAGGAGGGUUGUUGAUUUGGGGAUCUCUCUCUCUUUGGCUCUGCGUGAGGGUGGGUGGGUGGGUGGGGAUGGGAUGGGGGAACGUGCAGGGUUUAGAUAUUAUAGGUUUAAUUUCACUUUCCACCCCUUUACUUAUAUUAGAUUAUUAUUUAGUACUUUUUAUUUUUAAUUUUAAUAUUUUCGGGGUAACUUUUCGGGGAUCG